rnacentral:rRNA from 1 species
UGGGGAAUUUUGGACAAUGGGGGAAACCCUGAUCCAGCCAUCCCGCGUGUUCGAUGAAGGCCUUCGGGUUGUAAAGCACUUUUGGCAGGAAAGAAACGUCAUGGGUUAAUACCCCGUGAAACUGACGGUACCUGCAGAAUAAGCACCGGCUAACUACGUGCCAGCAGCUGCGGUAAUAAGUAGGGUGCAAGCGUUAAUUGGAAUUACUGGGCGUAAAGCGUGCGCAGGCGGUUCGGAAAGAAAGAUGUGAAAUCCCAGAGCUCAACUUUGGAACUGCAUUUUUAACUACCGGGCUAGAGUGUGUCAGAGGGAGGUGGAAUUCCGCGUGUAGCAGUGAAAUGCGUAGAUAUGCGGAGGAACACCGAUGGCGAAGGCAGCCUCCUGGGAUAACACUGACGCUCAUGCACGAAAGCGUGGGGAGCAAACAGG